GAUGAACGCUGGCGGCGUGCCUAAUACAUGCAAGUCGAGCGAACAGACGAGGAGCUUGCUCCUUCGACGUUAGCGGCGGACGGGUGAGUAACACGUAGGUAACCUACCUAUAAGACUGGGAUAACUUCGGGAAACCGGAGCUAAUACCGGAUAAUAUUUCGAACCGCAUGGUUCGAUAGUGAAAGGUGGCUUUGCUAUCACUUAUAGAUGGACCUGCGCCGUAUUAGCUAGUUGGUAAGGUAACGGCUUACCAAGGCAACGAUACGUAGCCGACCUGAGAGGGUGAUCGGCCACACUGGAACUGAGACACGGUCCAGACUCCUACGGGAGGCAGCAGUAGGGAAUCUUCCGCAAUGGGCGAAAGCCUGACGGAGCAACGCCGCGUGAGUGAUGAAGGUCUUCGGAUCGUAAAACUCUGUUAUUAGGGAAGAACAAACGUGUAAGUAACUGUGCACGUCUUGACGGUACCUAAUCAGAAAGCCACGGCUAACUACGUG
rnacentral:rRNA from 1 species